CGCGUGUAUGAAGAAGGCCUUCGGGUUGUAAAGUACUGUCAGCGAGGAGGAAGGCGUUAAGGUUAAUAACCUUAGCGAUUGACGUUACUCGCAGAAGAAGCACCGGCUAACUCCGUGCCAGCAGCCGCGGUAAU
rnacentral:rRNA from 1 species